AAUAGAUACCCUGGUAGUCCACGCCGUAAACGAUGGAUACUAGCUGUUGGAGGUAUCGACCCCUUCAGUAGCGAAGCUAACGCGUUAAGUAUCCCGCCUGUGGAGUACGGUCGCAAGACUAAAACAUAAAGGAAUUGACGGGGACCCGCACAAGCGGUGGAUCGUGUUCUUUAAUUCGAUGCUAAACGAAGAACCUUACCAGGGUUUGACAUCCCUUGAAUUAAUCCGAAAGGAUUGAGUGCUUUAUUGAACAAGGUGACAGGUGAUGCAUGGCCGUCGUCAGCUCGUGUCGUGAGAUGUUUGGUUAAGUCCAUCAACGAGCGCAACCCUUGCAAGUAGUUGUAUUUUUCUACUUGGACUGCCCCGGUAACGGGGAGGAAGGAGGGGAUGAUGUCAGGUCAGUAUUUCCCUUACAUCCUGGGCUAGAGACACGAUACAAUGGCUAGUACAAUGCGCAGCGAAGCCGCGAGGUGAAGCAAAUCGCAUCAAAGCUAGUCCCAGUUCGGAUUGGAGGCUGAAACUCGCCUCCAUGAAGUCGG
rnacentral:rRNA from 1 species